rnacentral:rRNA from 1 species
GUUUGAUCCUGGCUCAGAAUGAACGCUGGCGGCGUGCUUAACACAUGCAAGUCGCACGAGAACGCUUCAGCUUGCUGAAGUUAGUAAAGUGGCGCACGGGUGAGUAACGCGUGGGUAAUCUUCCCCCGAAUUGGGGAUAACAUCGCGAAAGCGAUGCUAAUACCGGAUAAUAUCUUAAAAACCUCGGUUUUAAAGACCAAAGGUGGCCUCUACACGUAAGCUACUGUUUGGGGAUGAGCCCGCGUACCAUUAGCUUGUUGGUAGGGUAACGGCCUACCAAGGCUGCGAUGGUUAGCUGGUCUGAGAGGAUGAUCAGCCACACUGGAACUGACACACGGUCCAGACUCCUACGGGAGGCAGCAGUGGGGAAUUUUGCGCAAUGGGGGAAACCCUGACGCAGCAACGCCGCGUGAGUGAUGAAGGCUUUCGGGUCGUAAAGCUCUGUCAAGUGGGAAGAAACCACUUGGGGAAUAAUACCCAUUGAGAUUGACGGUACCUCUGGAGGAAGCACCGGCUAACUCCGUGCCAGCAGCCGCGGUAAUACGGAGGGUGCUAGCGUUGUUCGGAAUUACUGGGCGUAAAGCGGGUGUAGGCGGUUUGUUAAGUCAGAUGUGAAAGCCCACGGCUCAACCGUGGAAGUGCAUCUGAAACUAGCAGACUUGAGUACCGGAGAGGGAAGCGGAAUUCCCGGUGUAGAGGUGAAAUUCGUAGAUAUCAGGAGGAACACCAGUGGCGAAGGCGACUUUCUGGACCAAUACUGACGCUCAGACUCGAAGGCGUGGGGAGCGAAACAGGAUUAGAUACCCGUGUAGUCCACGCAGUAAACGUUGACAACUAGGUGUCGCGGGUAUUGACCCCCUGCGGUGCCGGAGCUAACGCAUUAAGUUGUCCGCCUGGGGAGUACGAUCGCAAGAUUAAAACUCAAAGGAAUUGACGGGGGCCCGCACAAGCGGUGGAGCAUGUGGUUUAAUUCGACGCAACGCGAAGAACCUUACCUGGAUUUGACAUCCUGGGAAUCUUUUUAAGAUUUGAGUGCCCUUCGGGGAACCCAGUGACAGGUGCUGCAUGGCUGUCGUCAGCUCGUGUCGUGAGAUGUUGGGGUAAGUCCCGCAACGAGCGCAACCCCUAUCUUUAGUUACCAGCAUUUAGUUGGGGACUCUAGAGAUACUGCCCCGGUCAACGGGGAGGAAGGUGGGGAUGACGUCAAGUCCUCAUGGCCUUUAUGUCCAGGGCUACACACGUGCUACAAUGGGCUGUACAAAGGGUUGCGACAUCGCAAGGUGAAGCCAAUCCCGUAAAGCAGUUCGUAGUUCGGAUUGGAGUCUGCAACUCGACUCCAUGAAGCUGGAAUCGCUAGUAAUCGUGGAUCAGCAUGCCACGGUGAAUACGUUCCCGGGCCUUGUACACACCGCCCGUCACACCAUGAGAGUUGGUUCUACCAGAAGUCGUUGGGCAAACCCUUCGGGGAUGCAGGCGCCUAAGGUAAAGUCGGUGAGGGGGGUGAAGUCGUAACAAGGUAGCCG